CACACACACACACACACACACACACACACACACACACAAAAACUGUACUGACUAUUUCGGGGAGGGUGGAACUUGUCCAACUCCACCACCCCAACCCACUCCUCUGGUACCCUGGCCAGUGUGGACACUGGGACGGGAUCACAGCCAGCGAAGAUAGACAACUUACAGGACGGAACUCUAUGGGACUAACUUUAAAUCAGAGAAGACUUCUGAAGAAACCAGUAGAAAUGGAGUAGAGCUGUAGCCAAUGUUUGGCUGGUUUUGCUCUGUGUCUGCAAGAAAAAAGGAAAACUUGAAGAGGCGGAGGAGGGAUCUGGUAGCAUUGAAGUGUGUGCGUGUUUGCGUGAGUGCAUGUGUGUGUGUGUGUGUAAUGCACUGUGAUGUUGACACUCCCUCUUUACAGCACAGACACGGGUAACCAUAGGUGACCAUAGACGACUCAGCAGUCCCUGUGCAAUCAGCAUAGUUAGUAACAAGUACGACACCCGCCCUCACGUUUACAAACAUGUAAAUACCUGUUGUCGUUGGACAUUACUCUUAUCAAUAUGUAUUGUUAUUGCAAUUAAUAUGAUAAUGAUUAUUAUUAGUAGUAGUUUGAGAUCAUUGGCCACCAAACAAUGAGUUAUGUCUUGUCUUGCUCAAAAUAGCAUUACCAUUCAAAUACAGUAGCUAUGGGGAUAACAUUACUGUUCUGUACUCAAGGGUGAGUCUCAUGUACAACAACAAACAACAAAAUAAUAGUAUUUUCUAUUAUUGCUGCUACUAUGGAGGGGAAGCAAAAUAAGGAAUGAGACAAUAGCCGUGGGGGGAGAUCUCUGAUUCGUCCAUCAAACCCUUUCGACACUCAUGGGGGGGUGGAGCAAAGAAGGUGAAGACCACCGCCAAACGGACCAAAGGACGUAUGUUCGUUCCAGGCGGAACCCCGCCCCCUUAGCACGCCCGAUCCACCUUCACUCUCGAAGAGGAUUGUGUUGUCCUUGCAAGAGGACGACAGAAUCAGUUGCGGGCGUUUACAUGCUCACUGUAUACUCUUAUGUAGCAAACAUAACACAGUUUCUAGACCCUUCCUGGGGUUCACGCUUCUUCUCACAUGGCUACACAGGUUUUUAAUCUGAGGGGGGACGGUACACGGCGAGCUUCUCUGUAUUUGAACUCUUGUUUCGUUCUAGACAUAAGGACAUUUUAUAUAAACACCUAUAGAGUGAUUCAGUGCCAAGUUAGCAUAUUGUACAUAAUCCCUUUUACCUUUUCUUUAUUUCUCCAAAAAAAAUUGGGUUGAGAGGCGCACAUAGCAAUAGUGACGAACAUUAAGCUGAACUUUGCUGUUUGACAACACAAAUGGGUACACAAAAAAAACACUGCAUGAAAACACCUAGUUGUGUCAAGAAAGGGCCCAAGGGCAGGAUACGUCUUAAGCCUCAUGCUUCCGAGGGGAUGUUGCAAAUUGACAUGUAAAGCAUCAUCUUUUUUCCUUUGGGUUUCUGUUUUGUACAUAACAAAGUGGUUUAUCAAGCCUCAAUGUUCUAUGGAUCUAGAUGUGUCCAGAAGCACAUUUGCUAGGCCUGAAGCCCAGAGAGUAGGCACACUGUGACGUGGUUUAAAGCCAACACAGAAUGUAACACUGUCAACAUUGUCAAAUCGUUUUCUAAUGGCUGAUAUUAUUCCUAUCAAUAUGAUUAUUAUUAUAAAGCUAUUUUUAGCGAGUUAAACAAUUGCACAUCCUCUGUGUGGUUUUUGUGU
ensembl:lncRNA